UGCAUCGGCCGGGAAUCGAACCCGGGCCGCCCGCGUGGCAGGCGAGCAUUCUACCACUGAAAACCACCGAUUC
rnacentral:tRNA from 1 species